GUAGAAACUCUACCGUUGAAAAUACAUAAGUGAUAAGGUCCAGGCAUGGCCGAAUGGCCAGCCCCCUAAACGUGAUCAAAGGAUUAUAGAUAAUCCAAAGAUGUAAAAACAAUAGUAAAAAGUUCUAUUUAUACUAAACUAGUUACUAGGG